UACGUAUGUCGCAAGCGUUAUCCGGAUUUAUUGGGCGUAAAGCGCGUCUAGGCGGUUUUGUAAGUCUGAUGUGAAAAUGCGGGGCUCAACCCCGUAUUGCAUUGGAAACUGGAAAACUAGAGUACUGGAGAGGUAGGCGGAACUACAAGUGUAGAGGUGAAAUUCGUAGAUAUUUGUAGGAAUGCCAAUGGGGAAGCCAGCCUACUGGUCAGAAACUGACGCUAAAGUGCGAAAGCAUGGGUAGCAAACAGG
rnacentral:rRNA from 1 species